GCAGCUUGAAGCAUUUUCCGUGGGCGCUGAUUUUUUCUAUAAACUCAUCGAUGAAACGGCAUGGAUUAGCUCAAGGCACCUGGAAAUGGCAACCUUUCUUAUCCGCAAACGGCAACUCUCUCAUCCGUUGCUAUUUGGAACCGACUGGACAACGGCAGAUUAUGCCUUGCAGCAAUUCCUAGAGCCGUUAAAAGCGACUGGCAAGACACGUGGAUCGAAGAAGGCAGCUGCGUCCAACACCAGUGACCUUCCAGCCAACAAGCUGAAGAAUGUACAUCACUUUGUGAAUGGUACGUGGCAACACGGCUAUGCCCAAUCUUGGAAAAAAGUCCGCAAAGUCUAUUUUCCAUAUAAUCUUCGAGAGUCCCAUUGGGUUGCAAUCGAAAUUGAUUUCG